AUAUUGUUGUAGCGUUAUUAAUAUUUAACGUUAUUAUUUCACAAUAUACUCGAUUCGAUUUUAUGCAUUCUAUGCUAGUUGGGUGGAGGUAUAUGUACAUUACAAAAAAUGUUUGAAAAAAUAAUACUUUUUCUGACAAUAAUUUUAUUAGCAAAAGGUUUAAGCCAAUCAAUUACUUCUAAUGAUGAACAAUAUCCAUCAUCAAUAAACGUGAGUUCGUUAAAUAAUGCGCAGAGUUCGAGUACAUCACUAUCCAAUGUUUAUCUACAAAAAUCGAUUGAAUCAUCUCCCGGCUACAUUGAAACAGAAACUACUGUUUCUACUGAUUGCAUUUUCUUCUUGUUUUUCUAUUUUUGUUAAAGUAAAUCAUUAAGAUAAGUCGUGGCGAGGCCUUAAGGAAUUUUUUUUUUGGUAAGAUCACUUUACUUGUAUACAAAUAAAUUUAAGAAACUUUUUAUAUAAGCCUUUAAUUCAUAAUUACUAGUAUUAAUAAAUUACACUCGACUGUCAAAAAGUGUUUCGUCCGUGUUAAUUCUAAUGUUACAAUAAAAAUAUUUAAAAUAUUAUUUAACAGCUACCUACUUAAUAUUAAUAAAAUUUUAGGUAUAUUAAGUUUGACAGAUUUAUUUAAAAGGCAAAUAAUAUGGCACUUACAUAAAAAAUCUAAUUAGUAAAAAAUGUAUGUAAUUGUUUUGUAAAUUUAAGUUACUAAAAUAACAUUUUAUAUAUUUAUUAUAGUUACAAUUCAGUUUAUCAACGUACAGCUAUAUAAGAACAAAAAGCAAUGCGGUCUUAUCGAUUACUUUCCUAUUUCAGAACAUCGAUGUGUAAGAAAAGUUGAAUGUUUUUAAAACCGUUACAAGUUAUACGAUUAUAAAAUACGAUUGUCUACA